CUUCCUCUUCCACACGCACGAGCGGGCGCACCGCCGCCGCCGACGCCUUCCUCGCGGAGUUUGCGGCCGAAGGAUCGGUUGGGGCGCACCGGGUCGGCCUUCGGUGGGGCGCAGUGCGAGCUCUCGGCUCGGGGCAGGAGGCGGCUCGAUGAAGAGGAGCUGGGGCGCGACGCUCCUCUCCUGGUGUGGCGCACGAGGGAAGGAGGAGGGGAUCGAUCCAAGACGGGAGCUGAGGCUGGCGGCGCCCUUCACACAAGCCUCACCGGCGGUGCCUUCUACACAAGCCUCACCGGCGGUGCGGCGGGAGAGCUCCGACCCGUCCAUAGGUGCAGGGAUGCAGAUCCGCGUCGCGAGCCUGUACUAGGCCGAGGUUGAUGCGCCGGCGCAGGGGUCGCCAUCCAUCUUCGCCAGGCCUCCAGAGUACUCCAGCAACAGCCACUGGACGGCAGAUAUUUUGCCGGAUGACCCACUGUAUGAGCAUGCCACAUCCUUUCUUGCUCACCCAGCACACGACAUUCCUGUAUGUCGUUGUGUGCUUCUCAGUACAGUAGAGGUACCACACGGGGUGGUGACUGGGAGGCUGGGACAUGCUGGCACGGCCAAACAGCUGGUUUACUGCAAUCAGGGUGCUAGAGGCUCUUGGGGUUGCAGCCCGCUCGCCUGCUGGAGGUACAAUGUUGAUUAUUUAGAGACCUCAUCUUCAUGAGACUAGCAAGGGAUGGACAUUCUGAAGAAGAAGAGAUGAGGUGAGUUUCUGAAGUUCACCGUCCAAUCCAAGUAUUAAAGGUGAGCAUUACUAUUCAAAGGGACAUAAUUAACCUGUUAAAUUUUUUUUAGAGCAAGAAACCACUUAUUAUCUAACCGAAUAACUAUAAAAUAGCUACUUUUUCUAAAAUGAGGUUUCGUCUUUAAAUAGAGAUGGACCAGAGAAGGGGCUUGAGAAAUGCUUAUUAGGCUAGAGGCGUAUGAUUUUUUUCUCCCGUUGCAACGCACGGACAUGUUUGCUAUAAUAAUAAAGCAUUCAGUGGAGGGGCUUAGAAAAAUAGAAACAGUUCUAUUUGAUAUACAAUGUACUUCAGAAAUUAAUGGCUGGAGGAUCCUAAACUAACAUAUGGCAUUUUGUUUCAAUUUCUCUUUACCUGAUUGUGUUACUUAUGCACAAGCACCAUACUUG